rnacentral:ribozyme from 12 species
AACAUCGUAAAAAAAAAGUGGAUUUUUUUACUUUUUCUGGCUCCGAUUGUUUUUUGAGUUGAUUUUUUCAAUUUUUUUUGCCAUUUUGAUCUCUC